rnacentral:rRNA from 1 species
GUAGGGAAUAUUGGGCAAUGGAUGCAAGUCUGACCCAGCCAUCCCGCGUGCCGGAAGAAGGCCCUCAGGGUUGUAAACGGCUUUUGACGGUGAAGAACCGACAGGAUGCGUCCUGUUUUGACGGUAGCCGUUGAAUAAGCACCGGCUAACUCCGUGCCAGCAGCCGCGGUAAUACGGAGGGUGCGAGCGUUGUCCGGAUUUAUUGGGUUUAAAGGGUGCGUAGGCUGGAAGGUCAGUCAGCGGUGAAAAGCUAUCGCUUAACGAUAGUCUUGCCGCAGAUACUUCCUUUCGUGGAUGAGGAGGAGGCCACUGGAACGGAUGGUGUAGCGGUGAAAUGCAUAGAUAUCAUCCAGAACACCGAUUGCGAAGGCAGGUGGCUGUACCUUAAUCGACGCUGAUGCACGAAAGCAUGGGGAGCAAACAGGAUUAGAAACCCGAGUAGUCC